UUAGGAAAUCAAAGGGAGAUUUAAGGUGGAUACUUAUGGUUGGAGCUCUCUAUCGCCUCAACCCUGAAAGGAAAUCGAUCAUGGUGGUUCAUGGCUGCUCUUUCAUGAAUGCUUGUAGGUGCACCAAUGUUGUUGUAGUGUGCAUUCUAAGGUUAGCAUGAAGGUGGAGCCAUGGUUUGAUCAUCUUUUUGGGAUUGGGGUGAAGGGAGCUCCUCCCAUGAUCAAUGUCUUUCAACUAUUUGUUGACAUAUAUGUUAUCUUUUUAGUUGUGAUCAUAAUUUAAACAUUCAUCUCUUUAUUAGGCUAUGUAUUUUCUAUUUACUGAUGAGAUAUUUGAUUUCAUGGAAUCCUGGGUUCGAUGAGAUCGAUUAUGAUGAUUUAUUGCAGAGAGAUGAAUCCAGUUCACAAUCGGUACAUGAAGGACGACAAAGAUAUAUGCAUAUGCAACUUCCAUUGUAGCCUCUUCAAUGGCAAAUGUAACGUUGAAUUGUUACUAAUGUGGAGUCUAUUAACAUUAAUUAAAACAUCUAAAUAUGAAAUUGAA